CGGCGGGGCGCGGGUGGGCUCGGAGUCUCCUGUACCCCACCCGCGCCCCCGCCCGGCCUCCCGAAGCUUCCCCUUCUUAGUUCUCGCCAGGCAGCAGCGAGCAUUUCAGAGUCCGCCGCCUUGAGAUCCAGCUGGAGCGCCCUCCACCGCGGGGCCACGGCUGCCCGUCCCCCGUUGGCGUCAAACUCGCCGAGACUGACUUCCGGACGUCCCGCCCGCAGCCCCUGCCGGAGGCGCCUCGUUGUCAGCCCCACAGUGGCUUCCUCGAGGCAGAGCUUUUGGAAAGUGACUGAAUCGUGGACCAAAUAGGUGACCUGCUGCAAGGAGCUGGGGUUGGUAGGAAGAAGUGGUCACCUCUCCCUGACUUCCUUUGCUUCCUGACCACCAUGAUGUGAGCGGCUGUCUCCCCCCAGGCCCUUCCACCUUGCCUUCCUGCUCAGAGUCAGCCAACUAUGGACUGAAAACGGUUGCUGGCCUCCAGGAGCUCAACUCCAGCCAGGGAGAUUUCCAGGCCGUGCCGAGGGGACAGAGGCCAACCCGUCAGGCUGCUCACUGGGCGCGGUCAGUGUGAAGAGAAUGGAGAGGGCAUGUGGACAGUGCCCUCCAUUUUCCCAGGACGCUUACUUCCUGCCCUCGGGCAAGAGGCUGAAGUGACAACAUCUGCUGCAGGAGUGGAGUGAGAUGAGAGAACAGGACUCCCCAGCCCUCACCCCGCUGCAGAUACAUCGAUUUGAACAGCCACUCUUGCACUUUGAACAAAUGCAAGGAUGUGGAGGAAGGGAAACCCUUGCACAUGUUGGUGGGGACAGUAGUACAGGCUUAUGGAAAACGAUGUGGAGAUUCCUCAAGAAACAGAAAGUGAGGGGUGGGGAUGUAGCUCAGUGGCGCCGUGCCUGCCUGGAUUUCGACACAGCUGGAACGUGGCGGUGGAAAUUGUUGGCAGCUCCAUCCCUUAAAGAAACCAACCGGAAGCUGUGUGCCUGA
rnacentral:lncRNA from 1 species